CCCUCGGAGCAGCUCCCAGCCCUGCGCUUGGCUGCGGAGCCGAAGUCACCUGGCGGCGGGCCUGCCCCCGGCACCCGGCCCGCACCCGCACCCCACGGCCCGGUGCCAGGGCCCAGCCCCGAGCCCAUCUCCAUGCCUCAGGGUGAGGGCCAGGGCCACCUGAGCCAGAAGAAGACGGUCACCAUCCCCUCAGGCAGCAUCCUCGCAUUCCGGGUGGCCCAGCUGGUUAUUGACUCUGACUUGGGUGAGCUGGAGUUGGGGAUGUCUCGGGCCCAGGCCCUGGCAGAGAAGCAGGGAGGCCUGGGGAGAGCUACCCGCCAGCUUGGGCUGCCGUGGGCCCCUGGCUGAACAACGUCCUGUGGCUGGCAGGUGGCUGAGGUCCUGUGCUCUGCUGUGUGGGUGAUUGGGCAGGGCCUGGGCUGGACAGGGGAGCUCCUAGUAGGGGAGGGGAGGGGAUGCUGGGAUCUAGGUGACAUGCCUGUCCCUGUCUGCUCCCCUCUGGCUGCCAGACGUCCUUCUCUUCCCGGAUAAGAAGCAGAGGACCUUCCAGCCACCCCCGACAGGCCACAAGCGUUCCACGAGCGAAGGUGCCUGGCCGCAGCUGCCCUCUGGUCUCUCCAUGAUGAGGUGCCUCCACAACUUCCUGACAGGUCAGUGCCCUCCUGACCGCCCCAGGGACCUUUGGUGGGCUCUCCUGCCC
rnacentral:sRNA from 1 species